UACGUAGGGUCCAAGCGUUAUCCGGAAUCACUGGGCGUAAAGCGUGCGUAGGCGGCGUGUUAAGUGUGAUGUUAAAUCGUGUGGCUCAACCAUAUCGAUGCAUUGCAUACUGGCAUGCUAGAGGAAAGCAGAGGCAAGUGGAACUAGUAGUGUAGCAGUGAAAUGCGUAGAGAUUACUAAGAACACCAAUGGCGAAGGCAGCUUGCUGGGCUUUUUCUGACGCUGAGGUACGAAAGCGUGGGGAGCGAACAGG
rnacentral:rRNA from 1 species